CGGGUGCGAUCAUACCAGCACGAA
rnacentral:rRNA from 1 species